AAUAGAUACCCUGGUAGUCCAUGCCGUAAACGUUGGGAACUAGAUGUAGGGCCUGUUCCACGGGUUCUGUGUCGUAGCUAACGCAUUAAGUUCCCCGCCUGGGGAGUACGGCCGCAAGGCUAAAACUCAAAGGAAUUGACGGGGGCCCGCACAAGCGGCGGAGCAUGCGGAUUAAUUCGAUGCAACGCGAAGAACCUUACCAAGGCUUGACAUAUAGAAGAACACUGCAGAGAUGCAGGACUCUUUGGACACUUCUAUACAGGUGGUGCAUGGUUGUCGUCAGCUCGUGUCGUGAGAUGUUCGGUUAAGUCCGGCAACGAGCGCAACCCUCGUCCUAUGUUGCCAGCGGUUCGGCCGGGAACUCAUGGGAUACUGCCGUGGUCAACACGGAGGAAGGUGGGGAUGACGUCAAAUCAUCAUGCCCCUUAUGUCUUGGGCUUCACGCAUGCUACAAUGGCCGGUACAAAGAGCGGCGAUACCGUAAGGUGGAGCGAAUCUCAAAAAGCCGGUCUCAGUUCGGAUUGGGGUCUG
rnacentral:rRNA from 1 species